rnacentral:rRNA from 1 species
AUUGAACGCUGGCGGCAGGCCUAACACAUGCAAGUCGAACGAGUGGCGGACGGGUGAGUAAUGUCUGGGAAACUGCCUGAUGGAGGGGGAUAACUACUGGAAACGGUAGCUAAUACCGCAUACCAUCAGAUGUGCCCAGAUGGGAUUAGCUAGUUGGGGGGGUAACGGCUCACCAAGGCGACGAUCCCUAGCUGGUCUGAGGGGAUGACCAGCCACACUGUAACUGAGACACGGUCCAGACUCUUGCGGGAGGCAGCAGUGGGGAAUAUUGCACAAUGGGCGAAAGCCUGAUGCAGCCAUGCCGAGUGUAUGAAGAAGGCAUUCGGGUUGUAAAGUACUUUCAGCGGGGAGGCGUUACCCGCAGAAGAAGCACCGGCUAACUCCGUGCCAGCGGCCGCGGUAAUUC